AAAUCCUACCUAAACUCGAUUCCAACCGUUCCAAGGCUAUUUAGGAGGAUAAAUUAUACCACUCGAUCAUUUCUAAUCUACCCAAAAACUAAAACCCUAAUCCUAAUUUUUCUCUAAUUCUCUCUCUUUCUCUAAAACUAUGUCAACACGCUCGAGGGCUACUCCUAAAGGCCUAGGGUCUCUUCAUUGGCAGGAGAGGGCUCUUCUAGGAGUCAUCCUACUACCGUGGACGAUUGACUCUACGACAAUCGGGAUUCAAAGCUCUACGAUCGAUUAUCGAUGAAGACACUUUUGUUAGGUCAUCCCAUGGACUUCCACACUAUCACUGUCAAGGCCGGCUUUGGGCCUGCGCAGGCCUCUCUGAGCUCUCUCUUCCGGUCUUUCCCCAAUUCCAAAGGGGACGAAAAAAAUCAAUUUUUUAUCUAAAUUCUCAAAUCAAAGGCAAGAGAUCGCAAGAAAUCGCCGAUAUUUGUCCUAGGAUUCGAGGAAUUGUUGGAUCUGUACCCUGAUUUCUGUGGGAGGAGGAGGCUGCAGCUUGAGGUCCAGACAUUGAACCGCGAGGUUGGGUUUCUUGAGGUUUAUGAACAGGUUAUAUACAGGUAUAAUAUGGUGUCAACUAUCUUUUGCAGACUACUCGAGUACCUCUUCCACUUGAUUUAAGGCUUCAAAUUAGGUUGUAUUAUUCCUAAUCUUUUGACUUCUUUCAAUUUGAUUGUAAUAUUUUUGUUUUAUUAUAGAAAUACCUCCAAGAAAGUAUCAUUUUGGAUAUGAUAAACGCAAGAAAAAAAGAAAAAUUGAACAAUUUGUCCAAACUCAAAGUGGAGCGCUUGAUAAAUUCCUUGUUAGAGAAACACAAGAUUUAGUUGAAAAUUCAAUUGAAAAUAAUAACAUUAAUGAUUUGGGCUUGAAUGAGUAUGAGAAUGAAAAUGUUGAUGAUUAAAGUAAAAAUGAAAAUGAUAAUGAAAAUGAGAAUCAGAAUGAAAAUGAGAAUCGUAAUGAAAAUGAAAAUGAUAAUGAAAAUGAGAAUCAAAAUAAAAAUGAAAAUAAAAAUAAAAGUAAAAAUGAGAAUCAGAAUCAGAAUGAAAUUGAUAUUGACAAUGAAAAUGAAAAUGAGAAUGAAAAUAUUUUUUAGGCAAUGAACAACCUAGUCAGUCUAUACUCAUGAAUUUGAAUAUUUAUGAUCCAAGAACUUGAAAUAAUUUGGACACAAAAUCUAGAGAUAUAUUAAUGGAAAAUGGCCCUAUAAGAGAUCUAUUAUUGAAAAAAGGUCCUAUAGAUAAAUUAGGAAGAUGUUUUUCUUCAGCAUUUUACACUGGGCAUUUAUCAAAUGGAGAGAAAUGUGAUAGGGAAUGGUUAGUUUAUUCAAAAGAUAUCGAUAAAGUAUUUUGUUUUUAUUGUAAAUUGUUUAAAAAUGGUUUUAAGAAAAGUUUUUUAAUAAAUGAAGGAUUUAAUGAUUGGAUGCAUCUUAGUGCUAGGCUUAAAGAACAUGAAACAACUAAUGAGCACAUCAUUAACAUGAGUAUUUGGCUUGAUUUACGCAUAAGAUUAAAGAAAAAUAAAACAAUCGAUAAAAAUAUUCAAGAGCAAAUUAAUAAAGAGAAGGAGCAUUUGAAGAAAGUAUUACAAAGAAUAAUUUCUAUUGUUAAAUAUCUUGCUAAACAUAACUUGGCAUUUCGAUGAACAAAUGAGAGAAUUUAUCAAAAUAAUAAUGAAAAUUUUUUAGGCCUAAUUGAAAUGAUUGCAGAAAUAGGAUCCGGUAAUGCAAGAACAUGUUCGACAUAUUGACCAUGGUAAAAUUCAUUAUCAUUAUCUUGGUCAUAGCAUUCAAAAUGAAUUGAUAAGUAUGUUAGCUUCUAAAAUCAAAUGUGCAAUAGUUCAAAAAAUUAAAGAAGCUAAAUAUUUUUCAGUAAUACUUGAUUAUACUCUGGAUGCAAGUCACCAAGAAUAAAUAACUUUAAUAUUACGAUGUGUCGAUAUUUCUACAAGCUUAAUAAAAAUAGAAGAAUUUUUUGUAGAAUUUUUAAAAGUAAAUGAUACAUCUGGACAAGGACUUUUUGAAGAAUUGCAAAAUGUGCUAAAAACUCUUAAUCUUGAUAUUGAUAAUGUAUGAGGUCAAGGGUAUGAUAAUGGUUCUAAUAUGAAAGGGAGACACCAAGGUGUACAAAAAAAAGUACUUGAUAUAAAUCCUAGAGCAUUAUACACGCCUUGUGGUUGUCAUAGUCUUAAUUUAACACUUUGUGAUAUGGCAAAUUAUUGUGCUAAAGCAAAAGACUUUUUUGAAGUGAUACAACGUAUUUAUAUAUUAUUUUCUCACUCAAUAAAGCGAUGGUAAAUUUUGAUAAAUAAUGUAAAAGGUUUAACUGUGAAGUCAUUGUCGGCUACACGUUAGGAAAGCCAUAUUGAAAGCGUUAAAGCAAUUAGAUUCCAAACGCUUGAAAUAAAAGAAGCACUACUUCAGUUAGCAAAAACUGAUAAUGACUCCAAAAUAAGGAGUGAAGCAGAUUCUUUAGCAAUACAUGGAAUUGGAAAUUUUGUAUUUUUAUUAAGUAUGAUUAUUUGGUAUGAUAUAUUGUUUGUUGUUAACUUAAUUAGCAAAUAUUUACAAUCUAAAGACAUGCUUAUCUAUAUUGCUAUAGAUCAAGUAAAAGGAUUGAUUAGGUUUUUUUAGGAUUAUAGAGAAGUUGGACUCACACAAGCUAUGACAAUUGCUAAAGAAAUUGCUACUGAAAUGAAAAUUGAUUCUGUAUUUCAAGUAAAACGUCAAAUCCGUAGAAAAAGACAAUUUGAUGAGAUUGUUAAUGAGGAGACAACACAGUCAGUUGAAGAAUCUUUUAGAAUCAAUUAUUUUUUAUAUACUGUAGAUCAAGCUAUUGGUUCACUAAAGAAAAGGUUCGAGCAAUAUAAAGCAUAUGAAUAUAUUUUUGGAUUUUUGUUUGGUUCCGAAAAGUUAAAUUCAUUAGAUGAAAUAAUUUGAAAGCAUGUUGUGAUAAUCUUGAAAUUGUUCUAAAAUAUAAAACAUAUUCUGAUAUUGAUGGGAAAGAUUUAUUUGGAGAACUAAAAAUCUUACGAAAUAUUUUACCAAAAGAAACAAAGAUGGCUAUUGAUAUACUGAAUUUCUUAAAAAUACAAAAUUAUUUUCCAAAUGCAUGUAUUGCUUAUAGAAUAUUAUUGACUAUACCUGUUACAGUCGCAUCUGCAGAAAUUUUUUUUUAUCAAAAUUAAAAUUAUUAAAAUCUUAUCUGAGAUUGACCAUGUCACAAGAAAGACUAAAUGGACUAGCUUUGAUAUCAUUUGAAAAUGAUUUUAUAGAUAAAACUGAUGUUAAGGGCUUAAUUAGUGAUUUUGCAGCUAAAAAUGCGAGGAUAAUUUUUCGAUGAUACUUUUUUAUGCUAAAGGCUUUGAUAUCUCUUAUGAAGGUAAGCACAGAUACAAGAGGAACAUAAUAUGCAAGUAUUUCUUCUUGUGGACUAUUUACUCUAUUGGAAAUCUUUAUUAAAGUAAGAUUACAUGUAUUUAUCUGAUCAGUGACAUUUUAUUCAGGUGACCGAAGAGAUGAAGAAUGGGCAAUAGCACUUGAAAAGUAUGUUAAAGAUUAUGCAGAUGCAAAAAAUUCAGGUAAAGCUAUAUCAGGUGUUUCCUUAUUAAGAUGGAUUGACUUCCUGAAGAUGGAGGGGUCGAUUUAUCCUGAGGUGAUGCCAGAAUUCCUAUGCAAUAACCACAACACUAACGUGUGGCACAUGACUCCGGCUUUCUGUACGGGUAUUUGUAUCUCUAAUGGUGGUUUGGCUUGAGAUAUCGAUGCGAGCACAAUCUAGAUAUCGAUGCGAUGUACAAGCUUAUACUUGAGGAAUAUACUGUGGCUAACCGGGUAUCCGAGAAGACGGGCUCUCUCAAUCAUAAUACUCGAAUCAUCACAGGCAUUGUGAAUGUGAACAUGUUCUCGAAGGCGGGUGAGCACAACGAUACUUCUGACCAAGCUCAUCUCUUGGUGUCUCUCCUUCACGCUCGAAUCAACAUCAACUUUUGGGGAUUGCGACUCAACGACCUUACCCACCUCUGCACUUCCUUGUGAUUGAUCAUAUUUGACUUCUUGAUCAUGGCUUGAUAUGGGUCAGUGCCAGAUCAACUUUAAUGGCAGAAAAAUUAGUCUUACGGAUGUCGUUAUUGAAUUGGCUGAUCCACCUCCUCUUCAUGCUCAUGUUCCUGAGAUUAGGCCUCCUCUGGUUGCUCCUGAGGCUUCCAUGUGUAAAACCCAAAAAAUUUAAAAACUUGGAAAAUAAUUUUAAAUAACAAUUAAUGAGUUUUAUUA